UAUUUAGAUCUCAUUCUGUAGAGAACAGCUCUCUUUGGCUACCCAUUCAGGGCUCCCAGAAUCAUACAUAGCUACAGUUUUCAGUUGAGAUGUGCUUUGUGACAAUGCUAGCAUAACUUAUUCUACUCCAGACUUUAGAUUGACACCAAUCUAAAAAAUGGAGAAAAUUUUUUAGAGAAAAUUUGGAGAAAAAAAUGGAGAAUAACUAAAUUCACACUAACAAAUGAGCUAUAUGCAGCUUACUGUAAUCAACUUAAGCAUAAUUUCAUGAAACAAACUAUAGAUUUUAUGCUGUGUGUUUCAACCAUUGUUAUCCUUUUUUUUUUUUACUAACUUGGAAAAACCAUGAGCAAUGUGGGGCUCAAAAAGGAUUGUCUCUAUUUUGAUAUAGUUUACAUCUUCUUUCUCUGCCAGCAUUCUGAAUCUGACACUCUUCUAUGACUGAUGCAGUCUGCAUUUGGAUGUUAUAUAGUAAUGUCACUUGUCCUUGAAGAAUACAUCCCAAAACUUCCAAGGGAUGCUUGAAAUUACAGAGCCCAUCAAGGACCUAGUGGUGGGAACAGGUAUUCCUUCAGUUCCCAAGGACUCUGCUGAUUCUACUGGGCCUCCAGUGCAACACCAAAGAUAUUACUCUGCUGGUCAGUAAUUUACAGCCAGGGAGACUGAAAUGGUAAAAAUCUCCUGUCUUCAACCCACCCCUUCAAGGUUUGAUUAGCUAGAUCUGGGCAUUCUUGGAAAGAUACAGCAGUGGCUACAAGGACAUAAUAAGACCAUAUUAUUAUUACAAAUACAGUAUUAAUUAAUAUCGGAGGAUGGGAUAAAGAGGGAGAAGACCAGUUAAGUAACUACGGAAGCCAUUGUGGAGAGAGGUAACAAUAACUGAGCCAGAGAAAUGGAAAUGGGGAAUGGACCCAAGAGCUAUGGCCGAGAGAGAAUCAAUAAUAUACAAUGUUUGGUUGAGUGGGGACAAGGAGGAGUCACUGGGUGGCUAGUAGAACCAC
rnacentral:lncRNA from 1 species